rnacentral:lncRNA from 1 species
ACUGAGUGAGGGUCACUGUUCUCUUUCCAGUGGCAAAUGUGAGGGGUGAAGGUCCACCAGUGCAUAACAACUUAAACUUGUGCUCUGAAAAGGACAAUGACAGCAUCGCCUACAGGUACAGCUGUCAGCUUGGAAAUCCCACACUGACGCCAAGAGAACUAACAAUGGACUGACCAAAGGGAUACGGAAUAUUUGUGCAUCAGUACAUGAGGAUACCUCUCUGCAGUGCUCACAAGACUCAAUAAGAAUGGCGGUCAUCACAUUGGUCCCAGCACAUCACUGAUACAGCAGAUCCAGCUGUGCUGCUGGUACAGCCACACCAUGCCCAGAUGGUGCUGCCUAAAGCAUCAGCCCUCCAUGAUGCUGUACCCCAGUGCCAGGUAGGAAGCUUUGAAUUGCUCAUCUAUCUGUGACUACUGCAGUUAGUAGCACCCAAGAAUAGCUCAUAAACUUUGCACUAAGAUUUCUGCAGCCAACACAAACUGAUA